CAGACAGCCAUCACAUGGUUCUUGACAGAUCUGGGUCAGGAUUUAGUGGCAUGGAGUCCCAAGACGAUCGGAGACCUUUUUCUGCUGCAGCCAUCAUCCGCUUUCCCAGCGGUUGUGAGGCUCCACUAAAGUGUGACAUCAUCCUCCGCCUGUUCCACCGUUGAGGUCUUGGUUGGACACGCUGACCUCA